rnacentral:pre_miRNA from 1 species
UUUGGGGGAAAUAGUGGUCUAUUAAGUUGGGAAAAAGACAUCAUCCUUUGAGAUAAAAUUAGGUUUGUUUCCUUUUACUCCUAAAAUCAUUUUACCGUGGUAAAAAGAAUCAAUAUGGGGGUAUAAAAGGAACCAAAUUUAAAUUUAACUCAAGGGGUCUUGAUGUCGUUUUCCUCAACAGGACGGAUUACUUUUUCCCAAG